UACGGAGGGUGCAAGCGUUAUCCGGAUUCACUGGGUUUAAAGGGUGCGUAGGUGGGCAGGUAAGUCAGUGGUGAAAUCUCCGGGCUUAACCCGGAAACUGCCAUUGAUACUAUUUGUCUUGAAUAUUGUGGAGGUAAGCGGAAUAUGUCAUGUAGCGGUGAAAUGCUUAGAUAUGACAUAGAACACCAAUUGCGAAGGCAGCUUACUACACAAUGAUUGACACUGAGGCACGAAAGCGUGGGGAUCAAACAGG
rnacentral:rRNA from 1 species